rnacentral:rRNA from 1 species
GGCUAACGCUGGCGGCGUGUCUUAGCCAUGCAAGUCGAGCGGACUUAUGGGGUAACUUAUAAGUCAGCGGCGGACGGCGGAGUAACACGUAGCUAACCUACCCUCUGGACGGGGAUAACCUACCGAAAGGUGGGCUAAUACCCGAUGUAGUCAUCCUGUAUAGGGGUGAUGAAAGGUGGGCUUCUGUUUACAAGCUCAUGCUGGAGGAGGGGCUGCGGCCUAUCAGGUAGUUGGUAGGGUAAUAGCCUACCAAGCCGAUGACGGGUAGCCGGCCUGAGAGGGUGACCGGCCCGAGGGGCACUGAGAUACGGGUCCCACUCCUACGGGAGGCAGCAGGCUAGAAAUUUGGGCAAUGGGGGAAACCCUGACCCAGUGACGCCGCGUGCAGGAAGGAGCCCUUCGGGGUGUAAACUGCUGUCGUGUAGGGAGAAGGGUACUAAGGUGAACAAUCUUAGUACUUGACGGUACUACAGGAGGAAGCCCAGGCUAACCUCGUGCCAGCAGCCCGGGUAAAAUGCGUACU